GUGAGGAAUAUUGGACAAUGGGCGCAAGCCUGAUCCAGCCAUGCCGCGUGCAGGAAGACGCAUCUAUGGUGUGUAAACUGCUUUUGUACGGGAAGAAACACUCCCUCGUGAGGGAGCUUGACGGUACCGUAAGAAUAAGGAUCGGCUAACUCCGUGCCAGCAGCCGCGGUAAUACGGAGGAUCCAAGCGUUAUCCGGAAUCAUUGGGUUUAAAGGGUCCGUAGGCGGUUUAAUAAGUCAGUGGUGAAAGCCCAUCGCUCAACGAUGGAACUGCCAUUGAUACUGUUAGACUUGAAUUACAAGGAAGUAACUAGAAUAUGUAGUGUAGCGGUGAAAUGCUUAGAUAUUACAUGGAAUACCAAUUGCGAAGGCAGGUUACUACUUGUGGAUUGACGCUGAUGGACGAAAGCGUGGGGAGCGAACAGGAUUAGAUACCCUGGUAGUCC
rnacentral:rRNA from 1 species